UAUGUUAUUGAUUUGGAGAUAUGAAUGAGAAAGCUUAUGAAUAUUUUGAGACGUAAAAUGGAAGAGAUGACAUGGUUUCUCAACAAAAUUAUGAAGUCCCUAGGGAAACGGGUAAGGAUUAUCCUAUUUUGUAAGGUUAACUGUUUGUUGAAUUUUAAUAUAGAGAUCUGAACAGGAGGGGAAGAUAAAGUAGGUUUUACUAUUGUCUUCCUUUGUACAAUCAAACAUCUGUUCACGUAGAAACUUGGAAGCUAAAUGCAACAGUAGUAAGAUUUGCAGGUUGAAUGCCAUGAAUAUGAGACAGUAUCAGUAAUUUCCUUUGCACAUUUUAUCUCUUCAUAUUGAUGUAAGGUCCCAAUCCCUGAAGAAAAGGGUAUUUUGGUGGGGUGUAAUGAUCAACAAGGUUGUGUUAUAUCUUAAAAAGACUUGAACAGGAGCAUAGAUUAGUUUUAUAAAGAUUAUGGUAUAUUUUGAU